rnacentral:sRNA from 1 species
ACAUGGCAUUUUUCAUAUCAGACCCUUUAUCGGCCCUAGGUCAUGAUAUCGGCCCAAGAGCCGCAGGCUCGAGGGAUGAUAUCAUGAACGAGGGCCGAUAAAGGGUCUGAUAUGAAAAAUGACAUGUAAUGAUC